UGGAUGAUGUGGUUUAAUUCGAUGCAACGCGAAAACCUUACCACCUUUGACAUGUACGGAAUCCUUUAGAGAUAGAGGAGUGCUCGAAAGAGAACCGUAACACAGGUGCUGCAUGGCUGUCGUCAGCUCGUGUCGUGAGAUGUUGGGUUAAGUCCCGCAACGAGCGCAACCCUUGUCAUUAGUUGCUACAUUCAGUUGGGCACUCUAAUGAGACUGCCGGUGACAAACCGGAGGAAGGUGGGGAUGACGUCAAGCCCUCAUGGCCCUUAUAGGUGGGGCUACACACGUCAUACAAUGGAUGGUACAAAGGGUCGCCAACCCGCGAGGGGGAGCCAAUCCCAUAAAGCCAUUCGUAGUCCGGAUCGCAGUCUGCAACUCGACUGCGUGAAGUCGGAAUCGCUAGUAAUCGUGGAUCAGAAUGUCACGGUGAAUACGUUCCCGGGUCUU
rnacentral:rRNA from 1 species